GUCAGUGUGGCAUAGUGGUUUGAGAGCUGGACUAUGACUUUGGAGACCAGGGUUCGAUUCCCAGCGACC
rnacentral:tRNA from 1 species